rnacentral:rRNA from 1 species
UCGGGAAUUUUGGGCAAUGGGCGAAAGCCUGACCCAGCAACGCCGCGUGAGGGAUGAAGUAUUUCGGUAUGUAAACCUCGAAAGAAUGGGAAGAAUAAAUGACGGUACCAUUUAUAAGCUCCGGCUAACUACGUGCCAGCAGCCGCGGUAAUACGUAGGGAGCAAGCGUUGUUCGGAUUUACUGGGCGUAAAGGGCGCGUAGGCGGCGCGGUAAGUCACUUGUGAAAUCUCUGAGCUUAACUCAGAACGGCCAAGUGAUACUGCUGUGCUAGAGUGCGGAAGAGGCGACCGGAAUUCUAGGUGGAGCGGUGAAAUGCGUAGAUAUCAAGAGGAACACCUGAGGCGAAGGCGGGUUGCUGGGCCGACACUGACGCUGAUGCGCGAAAGCCAGGGGAGCAAACG